rnacentral:rRNA from 1 species
UGGCGGACGGGUGAGUAACGCGUGGAUAACCUGCCGUAUACAGGGGGAUAACACUUAGAAAUAGGUGCUAAUACCGCAUAAGCGCACGGUUCCGCAUGGAACAGUGUGAAAAACUCCGGUGGUAUACGAUGGAUCCGCGUCUGAUUAGCCAGUUGGCGGGGUAACGGCCCACCAAAGCGACGAUCAGUAGCCGGCCUGAGAGGGUGAACGGCCACAUUGGGACUGAGACACGGCCCAAACUCCUACGGGAGGCAGCAG